GACGAACGCUGGCGGCGUGCCUAAUACAUGCAAGUUGAGCGCUGAAGGUUGGUACUUGUACCAACUGGAUGAGCAGCGAACGGGUGAGUAACGCGUGGGGAAUCUGCCUUUGAGCGGGGGACAACAUUUGGAAACGAAUGCUAAUACCGCAUAAAAACUUUAAACACAAGUUUUAAGUUUGAAAGAUGCAAUUGCAUCACUCAAAGAUGAUCCCGCGUUGUAUUAGCUAGUUGGUGAGGUAAAGGCUCACCACGGCGAUGAUACAUAGCCGACCUGAGAGGGUGAUCGGCCACAUUGGGACUGAGACACGGCCCAAACUCCUACGGGAGGCAGCAGUAGGGAAUCUUCGGCAAUGGACGAAAGUCUGACCGAGCAACGCCGCGUGAGUGAAGAAGGUUUUCGGAUCGUAAAACUCUGUUGGUAGAGAAGAACGUUGGUGAGAGUGGAAAGCUCAUCAAGUGACGGUAACUACCCAGAAAGGGACGGCUAACUACGUG
rnacentral:rRNA from 1 species